GCGAAGCGAAGCAGUGAUGUGAAGCAAAUCGCACCAAAGCCAGUCCCAGUUCGGAUAAGAGGCUGAAACUCGCCUCUUUGAAGUCGGAAUCGCUAGUAAUCGCAGAUCAGCAUGUUGCGGUGAAUACGUUCCCGGGUCUUGUACACACCGCCCGUCAAACCAUGAGAGUCACCAACACCCGAAGUCCGCCUUGGCGGCCUAAGGUGGGGGAGAUGAUUGGGGUUAAGUCGUAACAAGGUAUC
rnacentral:rRNA from 1 species